AUGGCCGACGCCGCAAGAGCAACGGCGCCGCCUCACCACGGCAGCCUCCCGGACGAGAUCACCAUGGAGAUCCUCGUCCGGCUGCCCCCCAAAUCGCUCCUCCGCUACCGCGCCGUCUGCCGCGCAUGGCGCAGCGCCACCUCCACCCGCGGCUUCCUCCUCGCCCACCACGCCCUCCAGCCCGCCCUCCCCCUCCUCUACGGCUACAACUUCGUCGGCGACGAGGUCCAGUCCCUGGACAUCAUCCCCUUCCACCAGCGGGCAGGCGCCGGCCAGCCCCAGCUCCAGCUCCAGCCCGUCGCGCGGCUUGAGCAAGACUCCGACUUCCACCACCUGGAGGCCUGCUGCGACGGCCUCCUCGUCCUCUCCUUCCGCAACACCAGCGUCCGCGACUGGCGCUUCGCCGUCUGCAACCCCGCUACUCGUCAGUAUGCUCCCCUCCCCUUGGCUUAUGGCUCCGGCGUCGAGUACUCGCUCUUGGGGAUGUACCCACACAUCCCCACCGGCGACUACCGGCUGUUGAUGUACCGGGCCUCAGCAUUGAUGCAUGGUGAACUGGUGCCUGCCGCUGCUCAAGACGGCUCCUACAUCUUCACAUUGGGCUCCGGCCAGCCACCGAGGCACAUAGGUUUCCUUGACGCGGAGGUACUGACGUACACCUUUGGAUCUCUCCUGUUUCGUGGUAGCCUGCAUUGGCACCCACCAGGCAACAUGAUAAUGGUGUUCGACACCACGACCGAGUUGUUCCGGCAGAUGCGCGCUCCGGUUGUUCCUCCUGGCCAUGCUAAGUUGUUUCAGAUGGAUGAAAUGCUUGGCAUGUCCGGCUUUAAUGAUGCAGCGACAACCAUUGAUAUCUGGGUGGCGCAGGACUACGAGAACGGGGUCUGGGCCUGCAAAUACAGGGUAGAGUUCUCAGUUGCAGACCUCACUCCGCGGUUUGGAAAGUUUGACGAAAGUUCUUGGGCGGUGGUCGUGCCUUGGGAUGGUGACGUGCUCCUACUGGUCAAUUUUGGUGAGUGGCUGCUUCAGGUUGACAUUGAGGGCAAGUUGGUCGCUACUUUCCAUCGCAGAGGCCUCGGUCCUGCAAAUCUUGGGCUCAAGCAAACUCUUGUUCAUCAUACCUUCUUUCCGACACUGGAGGGUUAUGUUGCCAACUCUUUGCCUUUCAUCUGA
rnacentral:rRNA from 1 species